GGCUGUGUGGUGUAGUGGUUUGAGUGCUGGAUUAUAGCUCUGGGAGACAAGGGUUUGAAUCCCUGCUUGGCCA